rnacentral:rRNA from 1 species
CCUACGGGAGGCUGCAGUGAGGAAUAUUGGUCAAUGGGCGUAAGCCUGAACCAGCCAAGUCGCGUGAGGGAUGAAGGUUCUAUGGAUCGUAAACCUCUUUUAUAAGGGAAUAAAGUGUGGGACGUGUCCUAUUUUGUAUGUACCUUAUGAAUAAGGAUCGGCUAACUCCGUGCCAGCAGCCGCGGUAAUACGGAGGAUCCGAGCGUUAUCCGGAUUUAUUGGGUUUAAAGGGUGCGUAGGCGGCCUUUUAAGUCAGCGGUGAAAGUCUGUGGCUCAACCAUAGAAUUGCCGUUGAAACUGGGGGGCUUGAGUAUGUUUGAGGCAGGCGGAAUGCGUGGUGUAGCGGUGAAAUGCUUAGAUAUCACGCAGAACCCCGAUUGCGAAGGCAGCCUGCCAAGCCAUGACUGACGCUGAUGCACGAAAGCGUGGGGAUCAAACAG